rnacentral:rRNA from 1 species
CCUACGUGUGGCAGCAGUGAGGAAUAUUGGUCAAUGGGCGCGAGCCUGAACCAGCCAAGUAGCGUGAAGGAUGACUGCCCUACGGGUUGUAAACUUCUUUUAUAAAGGAAUAAAGUGAGGCACGUGUGCCUUUUUGUAUGUACUUUAUGAAUACAGAUAGGCUAACUCCGUGCCAGCAGCCGCGGUAAUACGGAGGAUCCGAGCGUUAUCCGGAUUUAUUGGUGUUAAAGGGAGCGUAGAUGGGUUGUAAAGUCAGUUGUGAAAGUUUGCGGCUCAACCGUAAAAUUGCAAUUGAUACUGGCAGUCUUGAGUACAGUUGAGGUAGGCGGAAUUCGUGGUGUAGCGGUGAAAUGCUUAGGUAUCACGAAGAACUCCGAUUGCGAAGGCAGCUUACUAAACUGCCACUGACAUUGAUGCUCGAAAGUGUGGGUAUCAAACAGGAUUAGAUACCCGUGUAGUC